CCUACGGGUGGCAGCAGUGGGGAAUAUUGGGCAAUGGGCGCAAGCCUGACCCAGCAACGCCGCGUGAAGGAAGAAGGCUUUCGGGUUGUAAACUUCUUUUUAGAGGGAAGAGCAGAAGACCGUACCUCUUGAAUAAGCCAUGGCUAACUACGUGCCAGCAGCCGCGGUCAUACGUAGGUGGCAAGCGUUGUCCGGAUUUACUGGGUGUAAAGGGCGUGCAGCCGGGAAGACAAGUCAGAUGUGAAAUCCCGCGGCUCAACCGCGGAACUGCAUUUGAAACUGUUUGUCUUGAGUACCGGAGAGGUAAGCGGAAUGCGUGGUGUAGCGGUGAAAUGCGUAGAUAUAAGGAAGAACACCGGUGGCGAAGGCGGAGGACUGGACGGCAACUGACGGUGAGGCGCGAAAGCGUGGGGAGCGAACAGGAUUAGAUACCCGUGUAGUC
rnacentral:rRNA from 1 species